rnacentral:rRNA from 1 species
AUAUCAAUAAGCGGAGGAAAAGAAACCAACAGGGAUUGCCUCAGUAGCGGCGAGUGAAGCGGCAAAAGCUCAAAUUUGAAAUCUGGCGUYUUUGGCGUCCGAGUUGUAAUUUGAAGAAGGUAUCUUUGGGCCCGGCUCUUGUCUAUGUUCCUUGGAACAGGACGUCACAGAGGGUGAGAAUCCCGUGCGAUGAGAUGACCCGGGUCUGUGUAAAGUUCCUUCGACGAGUCGAGUUGUUUGGGAAUGCAGCUCUAAGUGGGUGGUAAAUUCCAUCUAAAGCUAAAUAUUGGCGAGAGACCGAUAGCGAACAAGUACAGUGAUGGAAAGAUGAAAAGAACUUUGAAAAGAGAGUGAAAAAGUACGUGAAAUUGUUGAAAGGGAAGGGCUUGAGAUCAGACUUGGUAUUUUGCAUGCUGCUCUCUCGGGGGCGGCCGCUGCGGUUUACCGGGCCAGCAUCGGUUUGGAGCGGCAGGAUAAUGGCGGAGGAAUGUGGCACGGCUUCUGCUGUGUGUUAUAGCCUCUGACGAUACUGCCAGCCUAGACCGAGGACUGCGGUUUUUACCUAGGAUGUUGGCAUAAUGAUCUUAAGUCG